ACACCUGCAUGGCUGUGGAGCUGCGGGUUUGCUCAAUAGCACUUUGAUAUCCCUUAAGGCCGUCAAUUACACUUCUGUCCCUGCCAGCGUGGACUUUGGCGGAUACAAAGAUAGGGAAGCUUAGAGAGGAUGAAGAGGAAGAGGACGGUGAGCUCCCCUGGGAUCUGAGGCCAGACACUGUCUGGAGGAAACAGUUGAACAAAAUGUACACAACGGUGUCCAAACUUCUUAAGUGCUCCCAGAUUUGGAAAUAAUGUUUAUUUAUGGAGCUUUCAGAAAGUCCAGAUGGAUCUGAAAGACUGUGCCACCACCCGCAAGCUUGAAAACACCGCAGGAAGCCAUCCCGGCAUUGUGAGCAGACUAAUCGCCACGUACCACUCGGUUUCCUUCCUGGACUGCGUCACAGGCCGUAGCCCUGUGGUUCCCACAUUGUUCCUGUCAUCAUCCCAAGAAGCAUAACUCUUGAUCCUGAGUCUGGGCGGGACAGCCUGUCUCAGCACGAGCGCUUAUGUAAGUGGCUGUGGGGCGA